GCCCUCGUAGCUCAGGGGAUAGAGCACCGCUCUCCUAAAGCGGGUGUCGCAGGUUCGAAUCCUGCCGAGGGCGCCA
rnacentral:tRNA from 1 species